UACGAAAGGGGCUAGCGUUGCUCGGAAUCACUGGGCGUAAAGCGCGCGUAGGCGGAUUGUUAAGUCAGGGGUGAAAUCCUGGAGCUCAACUCCAGAACUGCCUUUGAUACUGGCGAUCUCGAGUCCGGGAGAGGUGAGUGGAACUGCGAGUGUAGAGGUGAAAUUCGUAGAUAUUCGCAAGAACACCAGUGGCGAAGGCGGCUCACUGGCCCGGUACUGACGCUGAGGCACGAAAGCGUGGGGAGCAAACAGG
rnacentral:rRNA from 1 species